GCUCCUGUGGUGAAAUUGGUAUACACGCCGCACUCAAAAUGCGGUCCGAAAGGUUGUGGGUUCGAAUCCCACCGGGAGUAC
rnacentral:tRNA from 1 species